ensembl:snRNA U6 U6 spliceosomal RNA
GUGCUUUCUUCAACAGCACAGUCACUAAAAUUGGAAUCUUAUAGAGAUUAGAGUGGCCCCUGUGCAAGAAUGAUGUGCAAAUCCAUGCAGUAUUCCACAUUAAA